GGCGAGGUUUACUGUGGCUCACAGUUCCAGGCCGUGGUUGCCCAGGGCCAAGGCAGGAAGGGCACGAUGGAAGGGCCUGGGUACAGGACAGCUGCUCAUCUCAUGACAACUGGAAGCAAAGAGCAGAGGAAGGAGCCCGGCACAAGGACAGGCCUUUCCAGAGCAUUCCAUAUGGACACAGACUGAUCAACACACCAGAAUCUGCCGCGCACUAUGUCCUCCUCACACAUGGAUUGAACUCCUGCUGCCUGCCCAGCCUUCAUUCAAGGAUUCGGGGAUAUAGCAGUGAGCUAGUGGGCUGAGGAGCCUUCCAACAUGGAGCUCAAACUCUGUCAAGGGACCCAAUAUGUGACAAAGCCCGAUGCCACCUGUAAAUACCUUUUCCAGAAUCCUGACAUUUAAAAACCUCAGCGCCGGAAGGCUUUGCUGGUUGCUGGUCAGUUUUGGGGGUUUCAGCAGAAGGAGUGAUACUCAGGUGUGGAGACUCAGGGAAUGCUUCAAGAGGAAAGCAGCCAAACGGAAGCUUGUGAGAAGAGGCGAGCCUUGGAGGAGCCUGCUGGAAGCAUAAGGGGAAUUUCCUGAGGAUCCAGUGGUCCCCUGAAAGGAAACUUCUAGACACAUGGGGCACUUGGGAGACCCGGCAGCCUGGAGUUCUUCUCGCAUGCUGGUACCCCACCCUGGCACUGUGCUGAUCCGUCCACCACCGUGUUAAUCAAACUUGACAUGUUUGCCCCGAAGAAAAUAAAACUUCCCUUUGAGGAUGUGGCAGAGAGACACAGCCAGGAAAUUUUAUCAUCAGAAAAAACAAAAUCCAGAAGGGACUGAAGAAUCUGACUUCUCCUUCAUGCCAGGCAUCUGCAAUUUUGACAGUUUGCUGAUGAAAGAAAAAAAUAUCUAAACGAAAUGUCCUCUGAGCAGGGAAAUCACCUGCCUGCAGAGCGGGUGUUGGGAAGAGAGCGAACUUGUUCCUUGACAUUUCGCUUCCCCACCGAUGUUGGUUUCCUUCCUCACCUCCUCUUUUGGGGCAUCUGUGUCUCCUCCCACCCCUCCUCCUCCCUGCCGGUUGUUUCUAGUUCCCCAGCCUCAUCUGCUCACCUCGGGCCCAUCCCACUCCCUCUCCUCUUCCACCACCUGAGAUGGUCCCUCACUUUCCCUUCACGUGUUCUCUGUGGUCCCUGCUGUCAGCUGAGAGCAUGAGGAGCUCGCUGCCCACUGAUUCUGGUCAGUACCCACCCAUGCUACUAAGGGCUAUCAUAGCCAGACUCAAGCGUGGUGGGACGCAGAGGAUCUAACAAUCUCUCGUGCAAUGUCUCUCUCCCCUCCAACUAUGUUUUCCUCCAUAUAGGUUCUAUUCUCAAGCAUGUGCUUCUCAUGCAAUGCCACUCAGGAGCUCCCAGUUUAUAUUCCUGUAUCCUCACCUCCCCAGUAGGGAGAGUACAUCACUUUGCCGAAUUUCUCUUGACAUCUUCUGUGCCUACCUUUCAUUGGCUGGGCUGGGAUCACAUGCCCUUCCAUGAGCCAAUUACUAGAGCUAGGAAGAUGAGAAGGAUGAAGAUCCCUUAUAGGCUAAGCCUGGUCAUGUGUCUUCUCUGGGAGCAGGACCCUGUGGAUGGAGAGGCACGGUAAGGAAGCCGCAUGGGGAAGCCAGUGCUGUCAGAAGUGUGCCACUGGGUUUGGCAGCCAGCCCUGCAUGUAGUGCUAUGAGUGAGAGUCAAACCUAGCCCCGAGAUUGUGGCCUACGGCUGGGAUGGAGGCCACAUAUCUUCUUCAGACUGGAGCCCAAACUUGGUUCAGGGCAUGGACUUCAUGGUCAGACAGAACUGGAUUUGAGUUCGAAACCACCCACCUCCCAGUGGUACGGAGACUGGCCGCCUCUCUCGGCCAUGGCAGCAUCAGCUCGGGCUGGCCUCACGGGUGCAUGUCCCAAGGAUCCAUGUUCUACUGACCCUGUCAUGGGAAUCUUAGUGACUUGGAAGUGAAAGGCUUCAUGUUUCCAUUCUGCAGUGGGCCUGAUGAGUGACGUGGAUCCGACUGAGAUGUAAGUUGGAGGUCUGGGAUAUAGCAAGGGCUCAGUCCACCCUACAUGGUCACAGCCAGGAGCCCUGGCGGGGGCUAAUGUCCCUUCCCUGUAGGUUUCCCACUUCCGUCCCCAUUUUUACCUCCCUCUUUGUAUCACGGGCCCCGUCUUUCCUUCAUUCUUGCCCACUGGUGCACUGGCCGCUGUUCGACCCUGCUGCCUGCCAGCCAACUUCUCCACCUGCCUGUGGUCACUGCACCCUGGGCACCCCAAGGGCAUGAGCCGGAAAUGUGGUCGAGGUGAUGCCUACGAUGCCCCUUGGCUAACAGAGCACAGGGAGAAAGGAUAAAUGCUUCCCUGCUGGUGCUGGAGGGAUGGUGGGCCCCGGGAGACCCUGUCCUGAUACCCUCAUGGGUGGCUGGAGCAGCCACCCUCCCUCUUCCUCCUUCUGGGAUGUGCUUGACAUUCCCCACACCGUGGCCUCUCAGAUGGGGCGCUGCAUACAGUUCUGUGUGGAGCUGCUUGUGGGGACCAGGCAGAGGCACCCACUUUCCCCUCCCCUCAGUCACUGCUCACCUCUGAUGAUAGCAACAAAGGAACUGUCACAUGCACUGCAGUCAUGGGCCAUGUGCUCCCCACACACUUCUAGCUCCAUCCUCCACACCCCUCAGAGAUGGUCUUGCUGCUGCAUUGUGCUGGUUCAGUGUGGGCAGGGUCAUCCUCCUCUGUCUCUGGACAGGAUGUGGGUGAGUUUCAUUUAUCAGGGUUGUGGUUCAAUUUCUACAAAUGCUGCCAGGUGCCAUCUGUGGAGGAACGUGCCCGGGAUUGCCUCUCCCUGUCCCCGUGUGUCCCACAUCACCUGUCCUUGCAGCCCCUCCCCCUCUUGGUUGGACUAUGAGUUUCAGAUGAGUGAUUUUCCCCAGACAGGUCUGUGACGCACACUGUCGUGCCAGUCACUGUUUGUUUGGAGUUGGUUUGGGUUUGGGAAUUUUGUAGAAUGGCUCUGUGGGUUGCAACCAUGUUUGUAUCCAAAAUGAAACCUUAGUGACAGUGUUCCUCAUUCUCACAAAUACUUUUGAGCAGUUCUAAAGUUAUGGGUACAGAUCUGUGUGGUCGCAGGCCUCAGGGGACUUAUUGGAUCUUGGGAGGCCUCAGUUUGCAUAUGUUGUGAAAUGAGGCAGCUGGGAGGCCUGGGAGCCUCUUGGACAAGCCCAGGUUUUCAGGAAAUGGUUUGCAUGAAGGUGGAGAUGGGUAGGAAAAGUCCAUGUUUUCCUGAGUCACCGCUGAUCCCCACAGAGACACCAACGGAACUGCAUGCUGGACCUACUGAGGACUAACUUAUGCCUGGGGUAAAUUCCUCCAGGAUGGGGUGACCAACUUGUCCUGGUUUUCCCAGGACUGUCUAGCUUUAGCACUGAAAGUCCCGCCUCUCAGGAAGACACUGUAGUCCCAGGGAAGCCAGGACAGUUGGUCACUUGGCUUGGCAUUGUCAUCAGUAGAGUAGAGAUAGUAAUGGUAGGUUGUGAAGAGCAAAUGAGUUUGUGCCUGCUAAACGCAGAUGGCCAGAGAGACCAUGGUGCAGUUAGGUGAGCUGGUUCCACAAUGUGAAGAAAGGGGUUGACCUGCUAGCGGAGGCCUGGAGGUGGGAGACAGCCUCAGCUCGGCAUCCUCCCUUCUACUUUGCCUCCCUCUGUGGUCCUCAAGGGGCGGAAACACCCCCACUCAGGGCAACACAGCUGACUUUGUGUUCCAGCUGCGUGCCAAGCGGGAUGCUAAGUGUUCAAGUGCUAUGGUUGGGAUCUGGAAUUGUCCCCAAAGGCUCUACAAGUAGCCCAGGUGCUACUGGAAGGAUUUCUGGAGUUAGGCCCAGUGGAAAGAAGUUAGGUCAUUGGAGGCAUGCCUGCGAAGAGGUCCAGUUGGCCCUUCCUCUCUCUCUGCUCCCAGUUUCCAUAGGAGAGAAGCUUCCUCUGUCAUGUGCUCACAGCUUCCAGAGCAAUGGGCUGGAGGGCUCAGUAGGAGGGGACAGAUGACCUCACAUCGAGAGGCUUGAAACAGCAAAAUGCAAUUACUCGAAGUUCCAGAGGCCAGAACCCAAAAAAAAAUGUUCGCAGGGCCGAACUCCCAUGAUGCAUUAUGAUGCCACAGGCCCCAGAACGACAGCCAACAAACCAUGGACUGAAACCUCCCAAACUAUGAGCUAGUAUCAACUUUCCCUCUUUUGAGGAGAAGCCAGAGGCUCAGAACGGAAGCUCCUUCCCACAGUAAGUCAAUAUGACUCAGCCAGAUCUUUGUGGCAAAAACAUUCUCGCCCCUUUCGAGACUAUACUGAAAGAAACUUCAAGGUCAAGAAUGAAACUUUGGAGAAUGUACAUCCAGCCCACCUUGGAGCCAAGAGGAAGUCAAGGCUCUGGCUCUUCGGUGUCUUCCUCCCACUUAGCUCUGACCAGGCAGUGUCAUGUGACUUGGUGUGGCUGGGCCUGAGUGAGGCUUGCUGUUCACUUGCCCUCUGACUUCACCUCUGUGUGUGGCCAAAGCGGCUUCCACCCCAGCCAUACUUCAGAGACAGAUGCCCACGUGCAUCCUGGCAGUUAUGUGGCUGCCCUGCUCUGCUCCGUACUCUGCGGUCCUGGCCAGGCCUGGCCUUCCUGCUGCCCAGAUCCAACCCUGGCAGACGGAUGAGGCCAGAAUCUCAGGUAAUGGGGAGUCCAGUGGACUUUUCUCAUUUCCCAGACAGUCCCCAAGGGGAUUUUCAUCAAGUCGCACCAAAUCCUCUCAAGUCAAGAGGAUGCAGACUGAGUCUGUUCAGGUCGCUCAGCACAGCCCAAGUCAACGUGACUUGGCAGACAUCCACCCUGCCAGACAUGCGCGAAGGCCCUGGGGAAGGCGUGGUGAGGGUUUGCCGGGCCAGUCCAGUGGGGCCAUUGUGUCACUGCAGAAUCUCAAGGGCAGGGGUGGCACAGACUACUAAAGCUAUGAGCGGGCAGUUUGAUUAAAAAAAUAAUGAUAAUAAAGCAUAGCCGCUGCACCUGCAGACUGGGGCACGGAUCUCUGCUCUGAAAUUCACUGGCCGUGUAGCUUCCUUCUCUGACCCAGGACAUGGGGAUGGUGCUGGUGCUCACCUGAAAGUCUCUCUCUGCUUCCCAGCUGCCCAGAUUCCUCUGCUGUCUGCUCCACCAAGCCAAGCCCUUCAGGAGAUUCCAGACCGAACUGCAGCACCGGAGAGCCCCAAGGGCCCUGUUUACUGCUUGGAGUAGGAGCCAGGCCACACCUGGGAAAGCUGGGGAACAGGCCGGCCAGGCCCCUCUGGACAGGGAGAGCUAAGUUGUGUGACCAUCCUCACGUUCAGUGUCUGCUCCUGAGGGCCCAUCGAGAUGUCCUCAGGGGUGAGCAGGACAUUCUCCUCUUCCUGAGCCUGGGGCUGCACCCCCUCAGUCACAGCUUCCAGAGCACUGGGCUGGAGGGCUCACUAGGAGGGGACAGAUGACCUCACAUCCAGUGGCUUGGAACAGCAAAACGCAUUUCCUCGAAGUUCCAGAGGCCAGAAUGCAAAUCAAGACGACCGACGGCAGCGCCGAGCUCCCUCUGGAGGCUGCAGGGCAAGGUCUCUCUGCUGCUUCUAAGUGAAGAAAGGGCUGGCCUGGCAGGUGGCCAUAAGACGCAGGUUCUGACUCGGUCUCCGUAGGGCGCUCUCCUCUCCUGUGUGCCUGAGGAAGACACUCGUUCCUGGAUCUGAGACCUCCAGGGGGGAUCCAGGGUGGCCUCUCUCUGGCUCCUUCCUUGGUUGCUCCUGCAGACACCCCUUUUCUGAGCAGCAUCGUCUUCACAGCCUCGGGCCUGCCGCCUACCAGCCGAAGAGUAGACUUGGGAGUCAGGGUCCUGAGCUGGAGUUACGGGUGGCCUUAGGGACGUCCUCAAAUCUGGCCACGUUAAAUUUUCAAACUGUAAAAGAAGGAUUCUAAUAGGGUGUAUUUUAAAGGCUGAUUAAAUGGACUAACACGAGUCCCAGGUUUAGCACAGUCCUGGUCAUAUGAUAAAUACCACUAAAUGGCAGCUGGGACGGUUAUUUUAAGAUAAACUUGGUAUUUUACACAUCCUUGCCUCGGUGGCAGCUUACUGAGCCCUGUUUCUCCCUGCCUUUUGCUCCUUUCUGGCCCUCCGUGGACCCCUCCGCUCCUUCCCAGUGAUACCUGCUCACCAGGAGCUCCAGGUCCAGUCCCAUCCUGAGCCUCUGUGCUGAGGGAACCCUCUGUUGAGGAAGAAUACUGUCCUCUCCCCUCCCCAGCCGCCUCUGGGGCAGAACAUUCAAGUGCCAUUUCUGCAGAGCACUUUAUAAAAUGAGAGCGGCUGAACGCUCUCGGGUGUAGGAGUAAUUAUAAUUCCCAAGUUUCUCUGAACAUUUUUCUAACUGGAUCUUUUUGUGUCGCUGUCUCAGAAUAGACACACUUGUGGGCUUUCCUGGGCUCAAAAUAGUCGUGAGACAGGGGUUGAAAUCGACAUCCGAGUUUGAAUUACAACAACUUGGUUACAACUUCUGAUUGGGCGGCUCUAGCCAGCCACACUCGGUUCUCCCUGAAAAUAUGGCUUCCUUUUAUGGAAGAACACAGUAGCUGUGAGAAGCUGUGUUUCCAGGACGGGCGCCUCCAGUGGGCUGUGUUGCCCCUGUCUGCUCCGGGUAGGGUCUCUGCCUCCAUCAGACCCAUCUAGAAAUCCAGGCCCACUCUUCGUCCCAUGUCCCUGUUCGGCAGUGAGAGCUGGAUUGCAGCCAGACCGACAGGGUGGAAACUUGCCUCUCCCGCUCAGGACUGCUGUGACUGUAGGGAACUUGCCUCACCCCUGCUCCCCUCAGUUUCCUCUUCUGUCCAAGUGAGAUAAUCUGCACCAGCCAGAGCUGCUGGAAAGAUGAAAUGCACCGGUACAUGGGGGGCGGGGCGCUCUUAGCAGUGAUCAGAGGCGGAAAGGGCUGGCUGUGUUGAUUGCUCAGCACACAGUUAGUGCACAGUACACGUUUGUGAACCCAGAGUUAGGAGUCACUGGUUCUCCAUGACACAACCCACGAGGUCUCAAAAGGCAAGCAGGGAUCUCUACUUGGGUAGUUUCUCCGGGGGGAUCCAGGGUAACUGACACAAAUAAGGGCCAUGGGGAGGAGGCAGCCAUGGUGUUACAGCUGAAGCAGGCUGAGAAGCAAAGAGAAACUUCUCUGUCCUGGGCUCUGCAUUCCUUUUCUCCAAUGUGAUAAAAAAUGUACUUAAAAGGUUUAAGGAAAAGACAAAGCUAUUGCCCGUGCCCUGCCCCAUCCCGGGGUACAGUGCAUCAAGAGACUGAAAUUGCUCAGCGUGACUCAGGUGGGCUUGGGGAACCUCCCGCUCUGGCCGUGUCCCCAGGGAAACCCACCUCUGUGACAGAGAGAUAAUGCACCUCAUUUUGUUUUUAAGCAGUAUAUUAUUGGCUUAACUGAAAACGCAGAAGCAGGGAGAGGCCCUCACUAGCGAGUGCCUCAUUUACCCUUCACAGUGCUGGAAGGUGAGACGCUGGAGGGCAGGUGGGCCUCGUGCCACCCUUGUGCCUCCGAGGGUCUCUGCACUUUCCUGAGUGCCCGUCACACUCGGAUGGAAGGAGGAAGCUGUCCUGCCACUGCCCAGAGACCUCCAGCCACAGAGCCCCCUUUUCUCAGAGCAAGUUCAAGCACCAGGGAGACAAAAAGAAGCCAGGAGCUGGGAGUCACCGCCGUGUCUCCUCUCCGCUGAUGAUGGCCUCUAUCUCUGGAAGAUAAGGCGCUCUGCAUUUGAUUACUGCAUCGCACUGGCGGUGUAGUGCGAAGGAGCUGAUGGCUCCGGAUAAGCUGCCAUCUGAACAGUUCCAUUAUUACUGCGUCACUCGCCUCGGAGUUAAGGGUGAAGCAGGAAUAAAUACAGAAUCAGAAGGCAAAAAAGGGAUGACAGUUCCUCCUCACUGGCAGGGAAAUUGAUCUUUUCAAGUCCAGUGUCCUCCCCUUGGUUGGCCAAUGUCACUGUCUUCGUGCUCAGGGCAGCAAGGCUAUCUUUUUGUCUGGCAUCUUUAAUUCACACUUAGCAAACAGCAGGCAACAAGAACAGCAAAGGCAAGAGCCACGUCUGGACCCAGAGCGGGGCCGCUUCAGGCUGAAUUCCACGACUUGACUAUGUUUAGCCACCGUGGUGCCAGGACAUGGUGAUCUUUUUCUUUCUUUUGGGACUGUGGGAAGGAGGGGACUCUGGGCAGGGGACUGGAUCAGGGUACAGGGGUCCCGGAUGCAGCAGCAUCUGCUUCACAGGGCUUGUUGCCUACCAGGGCCGGAAGCUCUUCCUUCAGGGAGAAGGUUGAAAUUUACACAUAAUUAAAUGUCCACAUCUUAAGUCUACAGGUCAGCAACUUUUGACUUCAUUAGCUGCCACCCAAUGAAGAUCUAGAGCAUGCUCAAGGGCCCACAAAGUCCUCAGCAUUACUUUAACAAGAUAAACCAUUCAAAAAGAAUUUUUAAUGUGUCAUUUGUGAAUUUAAGAUAGUUUUUCAGCCUGAAAUCUUUGGGUUUGGCAGGAUUUGAACCAAGACUCACAGCUUAGUAAGAAGCAUCCAUUCUUUGGGGAAGGAAGGGCUGGGCACUGUCUGCUGGCCCUGUGUCCUGGACGAGCUCAUGAGGUCUCCUCCUGAGAAGGAUCUCUCUGCCCUGGUAAAGCGCCAGCCCUGCCAGGUAGGUGCUGCUGCAGCUGCCUGAGGCCAGAACACUGCAGCCCACUGGGUGGUGCACCGUACCCCUGUUCUGAGGCCGCCUCUGAUUUCAGAUGAGCUGGUAACCCUGGACUCCCUUUAUUGGAAACAGAAAGCAGCUGACCCCAAAGCGGCUGGGUGAUGGGCAGCAGUGGCAUGGGGACACAGCGAGUGCCAUGGGAAGACCAGCCCCAGUGCUCGCCUCAGAGCCUGAGGCUGCUUCCUCACCAACACCAUGCCCAAGGCUGCCGCUGAGAUGAGCACCGCAGAGACCAUAGGGUGAGGAAGAGGAGGGUGCCACAGGGAGGCCGUGCCAGUGCCACAGGUCCGGCUGGGCACUGCACAGCCCAGCACCAGCAGGGCCACAUGCACAGAAGCAGGGUAUGACCUCUUACAUCAGUGUCUUCUCAGAGCUUUUGAACCACCAGACAGGCUCUCGAGGCCUUUGAGAUGCUGUGGCUGGUUCCAGUUGGCCUGGAAAACUCCUGACCACCCCUAACAACCCAGCCUGCAUGUUCCCCCCAGUCAAUGCCGGGCCUUCCCUCCCAGCGGUGCUCCAAUUUUCCUUUGUCUACGUGCUUAUCUCCCACCUUUGCUUCCUCCAUCCAUGCAGCAGAGGCCCGGGUUUGAUGUUAGUCUCGAACUGUGUGUGUGUUCCCAACGAGGAAAGCCUCAGAACACAGACUGGCCUAGAACUAAUGCCCUUUGGCUUCCUUCCCUCCUUGUCCAGCUCUGAAAAGCUUUAUUUUUGUAAGCAAAAUCUCCACUGCCACAGUUGGGACCCCAGGGAGAGGGAUGCUUUGAUGCCAGGGGAUAGGCUUGCAGCUCCAGAUGUUUCUCUUCUUCCGUCUCUUUGGACAUAAUGAUUAUAAUGUUUUAUUAUUAUAAAGUCUCAACAGCACCAGCCAGCCUCAGCUGCCAGUAAUGUGUCGAUCCCAUCUCACAGUGGGGUCAGCUACGAAGUCGCCUGCUUGAUGACCCUCACCGAGAGCCAGGGAGAGGGACACCAGGGCAACUCAAUAAUCAAGACACAGAUUCGAAAUCAAAGCCGCUACCCUCAUCAGAAUCAACCAAGGUCUCUUGCAAGCGCUUGGUCAGAAUGAGUUUCCAAGAAGAAAUUCUGUUUUAAAUUAUUUUUUGUGGAUAGCUCAAGAUUUAAGCGAAUAUUUAGACUGCAGUUCACAAAAACCUCUCUCUUUGGGGUGGAGAGGAAAACUGGCUUUCAUUCUGCAGUUUCUGUCUUUGUCAGCAUUUCUAAUGGCAAGAAUGACAAAGUCGGCUUGCGAAGUGCCAGGACCGACAGCUGUGUUUUAUUAUUGAAUAUUUCUGGUGGUGAGCUUGGCCGCCACUCUGUUUAUGUUGCUUGUAAGAUUUCACGAAAGACUCCGCAAGGUCCUGGGCUUAAAGUGGAGCGUCUGAUCUGCUGGAUAAUUCAUUCCAUCCCUUUCAUUCCUGGGCCUUUUCUUUUGAUUUUUUUCCAAGUGCAUAUUGAGUACUGCCAGAGAAUGGAGCCUCGUGGCAGGCGUGCAGACCUUGGGUUCCUGCACUGCCCCGAGCUGGUCCUUGCUCUUGGAGGGUGCAAGGGGGCUGCUUCCCUCAGGUGGCCUAAGGGUGUCUGCUUCUCCAAGGAGCUGCUGUCCCCAAGGUCAAGCAGAGCAGCUGCAGAGCCUGUCCUGACCACGUCCUUGGAGCAAGCCCUGCCCCUCCUUGGGCAGGUUUCUCUACCCAGAGCAUUCUCUGCACUUUGUUUUCAAAAAACUUUCUAUUUUCCUUAGACCCAGCCAGACUGUGUUGGAGCACUACACUGGCUUUGGAGGUAUAAAUGCGGUCUCUGUGUUUGCCAUCGUCUCUUUCUUUUCUUUUUGAACGGGAAAAAGAAAACUUGCAGGAGCAGACGUCCAGCAAACCAGGCCACCCCUCGACCAUUUGUUUAUUCAUUUGCUUUGUCAUCAAAUGUUUGCAGACAGCUCCUGUGGGGCAUAGAAAUGGAACCAAACAUCAGCUGCCAUCUCCCUGCACCCCAAAAGGACAUCCUUUCAGCCCCCCUUCUACACUCAACAGAAUCCAAAGCUGCCUGUGCAGUGUCUGCAGCUCUUGUCAUAGUCACCUCCGAUGUGACCUCAAAAUACACCUACUUUUGGCUCUGAGGUCCACUCAGAGUCUGUGGCCACCUUUUUUGGGGGGAGGGGGGCAGAGUCCUAUGAGAGAUCCAGCCCUUCCUUGCAUUUCCACCGAAAGCCUCUACUCUCGAGACAUCUGUGGGUGUUGGAGGGUUUCCCGAGGGUUGGAGAAGUGGGAAGA